rnacentral:snoRNA from 1 species
AUUCGGCAUGAUAACUGGACGACGGUCUCAAUAUUUCCUACGACCAAAGUCUUUUAAGUUGCCGAUAGAUCAAUGUUAUGCAAGCGAAGGAAUCUUACACGUUUCUCUGAUCAACCACAUGAAGUCUUUACGUUUAGUCAUUCGCUACAUUU